rnacentral:lncRNA from 1 species
UUCCGAACGGAGGGAGUAGCAAUCAUAUCAUCAUAGACAAAAGAACUUGCAGCUGCUUCUAUGUGUACGGAUUGCAUGUUUUUGUUCUCCUCAUUGCCUGCAUCGUGUACUUCACCCUUAGCCUGCUUGGUAUCCUUUGUGCUAGUUCAGUAGCCGCUCACCGUGCACACCUGCUCGAUGGGAAUUUACACAAACUGUUUGGAAUUAGGAAUUGAACUUUAGUAAAAUUAGAAACUGAACUAAAAAAGAAAUAGAAAUUGAAGGAAAAUAAAAUAAGAAACUGACUGAACUAAAAAUAAGAAUGAACUGAACUAAAAAUAAGAAUGAACUGAACUAAAAUUGGAAAUUGAACUGAAUAAAAAUUAAGAUGUUGUCGAUGUAAGAAGGGCUUCUCUUUUGCAAGUAGCUUAUGCGCCGUCGGCUAGCUUUGGUUGUACUCCUACCUGCUAAGCGUCUGUGUGGUUUACACCUACCUGCUAAGGAUGACCAAACACUAUAUUUGUGAGUUCUAGAAAUCGGGAGGAAAUCAUCUCAUAAAAGAAAGAACCAGAUAUGUUGAGACUUGGUUUUCAGUUCACACCACUUAAGCUAGCCGUACUGAAGUACUUGUGUUCCUCUCACUCACAUAUACUACAUGUUGAUGCUUGCCAUCUCGUUCGUUACAUACUACAUAGGCAGAGGCUACGCAUACUGUGGUCAAAUCAAAUAAUAUAAGACUCUAUAUGUAUCAGACCUGGCUGAGGAUGCUGCCGGUCUUCUUGUCUUUGUCAGUGAAGAGUGAGUCCUCUGUAGCACGCACGCAACAAAUUAAAAUAAGAAAUGAAACUAAACUGAACUAAAAAUAAGCUACAAAUUUCAAUCAAUUCGAUAUUCAUCAGCUACAAAUUAAAAUAAGAGUCCUUGGUAUGAGGAAUCAGCUACAAAUUUCAAUCAAUUCGAUAUUCAUCAGUACCAGUAUCUAUUUUAGUUUGGUGUAGCUACCUGCCAUGUGAUUUUAUUAGUACUAGCACGGCUGGAAAAGUCCAGAACUGUAGCAGCAUGUCACUGAACUUGCAUAUUUUUUUUCUUUGAGCUUAUUUAGGUGAUAUAUCAAAUUUCAUAGGCAUUUCGACAAGAACCUAUAGAGCAUCAUUUUUUUACACAGAAGCAGCAUGACAUUGAAUGAUAGCAGCAUCAACACAAGAUUCUCCUCUUUUUUUGUACAGGAUGCUUCAAAAAAAACAAGCACAUAGGCGUAGCUAAAAGCACACAGAUAGUAGUGUUACUUACAGGAAGAUAUUCCUCUUCUCUAUGCCUUUUCCAAGUGCCUCAAGUUGUUCUCCCGUCGGUAUAGGCGCGUACUGACGGCUCGGAUCAUAGUUCGUCUCUCCAAACAUAGGAACAUAACUACAGGGUAAACAUGACUCGUAUUAGGACUCGAGGAUGCACAUGAUACUAGCAAAGAAAAAACAUAGCAUUGCAUGUACUGGCGUGGAAUGAAGUUGCUGGACAGACCGGUAAGGCCAAUGUAUUCAUCCUACUACUAUUUUCUGUCCUCCUAGCUGAAGGUAGUUGGUGUAGACCACCCCGACUGAAACCUUGUUCGCAUUUCACCAUCCAUGACGUGGCUGCUACUCCUACACUGCCUCUGCCAAUUUUUUGAUUAAUUCCCAUUUGAAGAAACAUGUUUUAACAAUAUUUUUCCCACCAAAAGUGUGAAGAAAUGCUACCUAGUUUUCACAUAUAUUUGCUAGAACAAGUUAAGAAGUACAAGUACACAUGCACAGAAUAAGACUUAGGUUUGCUAGCAAAAUAAUUAGUACACAUAGCUCCCACUUGAGAAGUACAAGUGCAAACCGAGUCACCUGUGCCGGAGCUAUCUAACAUAUUCCCAAACAUGGUUCAAGCAUGUUUUAGUGCAAUAAAAUAAGAGAAUGGAUCAAAAGCUGGAACCCAGAACUGUACUUACGUUGCGGUGAACAAUAUAGCCAUCGUUAUUGGGAACAAAAACAUGGUGCUGUUUUGGAAAGAAAAAAUGAGCAAAAUAGGAGAUAUUAUUAUACAUUGAUUGUGUGUUGAAUCUCUAGUUCCUGAACUUUUAUGAACUAACAGCACACAACACAUCACUCUGUCUAUAUGUCCCUGCAGAACUUCUGUUGGAGUAUAACACGUUCUGACGCCAGCACACAAUGUGUAAGGAGUAGCUCUAUUCUUUUCCGUGUGAAUGUUUAAGAGGAAAAUCAACCUUGCGUUGC